rnacentral:rRNA from 1 species
UGGCUAACUCCUACGGGAGGCAGCAGUGGGGAAUUUUGGACAAUUGGGGCAACCCUGAUCCAGCAAUGCCGCGUGAGUGAUGAAGGCCUUAGGGUUGUAAAGCUCUUUCACCCGGGAUGAUAAUGACAGUACCGGGAGAAUAAGCUCCGGCUAACUCCGUGCCAGCAGCCGCGGUAAUACGGAGGGAGCUAGCGUUAUUCGGAAUUACUGGGCGUAAAGCGCACGUAGGCGGCUUUGUAAGUUAGAGGUGAAAGCCUGGAGCUCAACUCCAGAAUUGCCUUUAAGACUGCAUCGCUUGAAUCCAGGAGAGGUGAGUGGAAUUCCGAGUGUAGAGGUGAAAUUCGUAGAUAUUCGGAAGAACACCAGUGGCGAAGGCGGCUCACUGGACUGGUAUUGACGCUGAGGUGCGAAAGCGUGGGGAGCAAACAGGAUUAGAUACCCUUGUAGUCCAGCUGG